rnacentral:rRNA from 1 species
UACAGAGGCCUCGAGCGUUAGGCGGAAUCACUGGGCUUAAAGCGUGUGUAGGUGGAUGCCUAAGUGCCUUGUGAAAUCCCACGGCUUAACCGUGGAAUUGCUGGGCAUACUGGGUGUCUUGAGCCACUCAGGGGCUACCGGAACAAAUGGUGGAGCGGUGAAAUGCGUAGAUAUCAUUUGGAACGCCAAUGGUGAAAACAGGUAGCUGGGGGUGUGCUGACACUGGAGACACGAAAGCCAGGGGAGCAAACGGG